AUUGAACGCUGGCGGCAGGCCUAACACAUGCAAGUCGAGCGAGCGGCGGACAGGUGAUUAAUGUAUGGGAAACUGCCUGAAGGAGGGGGAUAAAUACUGGAAACAGUAGCGAAUACCGCCUAACAUCAGAUGUGACCAGAUGGGAUUAGAUAGUAGGUGGGGUAAAGGCUCACCUAGACGCCGAUUACUAGCUGGUCUGAGAGGCUGAGCAGCCACACUGGAUCUGUGACUCGUUCCCUACUCCUACGUGAGGCAGCAGUGGCAAAUAUUGCAUAACGUGCGCAAGUCUGAUGCAGCCAUCCCGCGUGUGUGAAGAAGGCCUUCUGGUUGUAAAGCACUUUCAGCGGGGAGGCGGUACCCGCAGAAGAAGCACCGGCUAACUCCGUGCCAGCAGCCGCGGUAAUAC
rnacentral:rRNA from 1 species